rnacentral:lncRNA from 1 species
UAUAAUUGGACAAACAAGCACUCCCUACUAAAAACGCGGACGUGAUAGAAGACACCUUUUAGUAGCGUCAACAGUAAACAUUGGUAUAAAAUUUUUGUCUAGAUGUUUUUGUUCAUAUAUCAUAAACAAAUGGUUUGGUCCAGAUACUUCUGAUUGUUCUGUUGAAAUAACUUGUUAUACAUAUGAAUUGUAAGUACAUAGCACG